rnacentral:rRNA from 1 species
CUAUAUACCGCCGUCGCAAGCUUACCCUGUGAAGGAUCUACAGUAAGCGAAAUGGGUAGACCCCAGAACGUCAGGUCGAGGUGUAGCUCACGGGAUGGAAAGAAAUGGGCUACAUU